CCAGCCACACUGGAACUGAGACACGGUCCAGACUCCUACGGGAGGCAGCAGUGGGGAAUAUUGCACAAUGGGCGCAAGCCUGAUGCAGCCAUGCCGCGUGUGUGAAGAAGGCCUUCGGGUUGUAAAGCACUUUCAGCGGGGAGGAAGGCGGUGAGGUUAAUAACCUCAUCGAUUGACGUUACCCGCAGAAGAAGCACCGGCUAACUCCGUGCCAGCAGCCGCGGUAAUACGGAGGGUGCAAGCGUUAAUCGGAAUUACUGGGCGUAAAGCGCACGCAGGCGGUCUGUCAAGUCGGAUGUGAAA
rnacentral:rRNA from 1 species